rnacentral:misc_RNA from 1 species
GCCAUUAUAUAACUACAAAUUUUUUGCAUAGAUUGUGAAAUGCUUUAAAUGAAUGUAUAUCAAAGGAGUUGCAAAAAUUAAUGAGCAUGAUACAUCAAAUAAUGGCAUUGAAUUCAUGAUUUGUAUUCAUUAUUAUCAAUCUGCAAUUUAGCUUACCUGUGCAUUAAAUUUAUACAUGUUUGGGUUAUGAACAUUAAUCAAACUGAACUUCUGAUCAAUGUUUAGUUCAGUUUCAAAUGUGGGUUAAUAAAAGGUAAU